GGGAGCCCCAGCACGGAGUUGGGCCCAAAAAUCUUCUUUUUGCUGAUCUGGAUAUUAGUGAAGAUGCAAGGUCUCAGAUUCCAGCUAUAAGCAGUUCUCCUGUGCCAGGUGAUGUCAUACAAUUGGCUUCUUCCACUGAUUCUUCCAAACAACCAUUAGCUGAUUCUCUGCCUUGUGGAAAUGUUGCUGCUUUGGGAGCUGUGGAGUUGACUGAAGCCAGCACUUCCCAGCCAGCUAGCUGCAAAGAAGUUGAGAACCCUGUUUCAACUGUUCCCAAGGAAGCAUUCUUGGUUGCUACACCCUCUAAUGAUGUAGAAUCGCCAGCUGCAGAUUGUAAAGGAUUGAUAAAGGAAAUAAAGAGGUAUUGUGUAA
rnacentral:lncRNA from 1 species